UACGGAGGAUCCGAGCGUUAUCCGGAUUUAUUGGGUUUAAAGGGUGCGUAGGCGGAAGAAUAAGUCAGUGGUGAAAGUUUGCAGCUCAACUGUAAAAUUGCCGUUGAAACUGUUUUUCUUGAGUGUAAAUGAGGUAGGCGGAAUGUGUUGUGUAGCGGUGAAAUGCUUAGAUAUGACACAGAACACCGAUUGCGAAGGCAGCUUACUAAGAUACAACUGACGCUGAGGCACGAAAGCGUGGGGAUCGAACAGGAUUAGAUACCCUGGUAGUCCACGCAGUAAACGAUGAUUACUAGCUGUUUGCGAUAUACUGUAAGUGGCUAAGCGAAAGCGAUAAGUAAUCCACCUGGGGAGUACGUUCGCAAGAAUGAA
rnacentral:rRNA from 1 species